GAUGAACGCUGGCGGCGUGCCUAAUACAUGCAAGUCGAGCGGACAGACGAUGAUCUUGCGCCUUUGACGUUUGCGGCAGACGGGUGAGUAACGCGUGGAUCAUGUACUUAUAUUUCGGGUAUAAUUUCGGAAAACGGGAUCUAAUACCGGAGAAUAUAUUGAACCGCGUGGUGCAUUAGUUAAUGACGGUUUUGGUGUCUCUUAUAGCUGGAUCGGCGCCGGAUUGGCUAGUUGGUAAGGUAACGGCGUACCAAGGCAACGAGGCGUAGCCGACCUGAGAGGCUGAUCGGCCACACUGGAACUGAGACACGGUCCAGACUCCUACGGGAGGCAGCAGAAGGGAAUGUUAGGCAAUGGGCGAAAGCCUUACGGAGCAACGCCGAGUGAGUGAUGAAGGUCUUCGGAUCGUAAAGCCCUGUUAUUGGGGAAGAACAGCUGUCGAAUUAGAUGUAGCGGUAUUGACGGUACCUAAUCAAGAAGCACCGGCUAACUACGUG
rnacentral:rRNA from 1 species